GAGUUUGAUCGUGGCUCAGAUUGAACGCUGGCGGCAGGCCUAACACAUGCAAGUCGAGCGGUGGAGAGAAGCUUGCUUCUCUUGAGAGCGGCGGACGGGUGAGUAAUGCCUAGGAAUCUGCCUGGUAGUGGGGGAUAACGCUCGGAAACGGACGCUAAUACCGCAUACGUCCUACGGGAGAAAGCAGGGGACCUUCGGGCCUUGCGCUAUCAGAUGAGCCUAGGUCGGAUUAGCUAGUUGGUGAGGUAAUGGCUCACCAAGGCGACGAUCCGUAACUGGUCUGAGAGGAUGAUCAGUCACACUGGAACUGAGACACGGUCCAGACUCCUACGGGAGGCAGCAGUGGGGGAAUAUUGGACAAUGGGCGAAAGCCUGAUCCAGCCAUGCCGCGUGUGUGAAGAAGGUCUUCGGAUUGUAAAGCACUUUAAGUUGGGAGGAAGGGCAGUAAAUUAAUACUUUAGCUGUUUUGACGUUACCGACAGAAUAAGCACCGGCUAACUCUGUGCCAGCCGCC
rnacentral:rRNA from 1 species